AAUAAAGAAAGCUAUUUCCUGAGGCCCUCAGAGGGGCCAGAAGAAGUUCCUUUGCAGAUCUCCUGAAAGACACAGGAGCUGGAGACACCAGGGAGCUCUUCAGGCAAAGGCAGAUGGGGGAAGAAGAUCAGGAAGAAGACUGGAAGUCCAAAUGAAGAGCCAGCACCCCAGCCAAAGAUUAGAGGGAUUGGGAAACUGACCAGCAAUGCUGCGUGCCUUUGUGAGUUACACAGCAAGGCAGUGGCCAACCCAGGAUGCCUUUCUGAGGGUUCAGACCCCUGGCCUGGAUUUCUUCGGUGUAGACCUCAGCAGAGAUGAGCGUUCCAGUGGCUGCUUUCUUUAUGAUGUUCCUUCCGAUUCCCUUCCUCCCUCCCAUGUCAGACAGAAAAGCCCAGUUAAAGUCUUGGUUCCUGGAUGCCUCUGAAGUUACAGAAACACAGAAGGAGGCUAGAAACAAUGGCUGCCAACGCUGAAGGAGCAGUGGCUCCCAUCCAGUCUGGGCCGGGAGAGAAGGGUGAGCAGCGGGCUUUCAAACAAACAACCCCCCCCAAACAAAAAGAAAACCAAAAGCAAAAAACUCAAGUCUUUCAUCAGCUCCACCACUGUAACUCCAUGACAUCUCUUCUUUCUCCUCUGAGCCCAUUAAACUGUACUUCCCGCUUGGACCGAUAUAAUCUAUUCAAAGACGUUUCUUCCUUUAAGCUGUUUAUCUCAGGUAUUUUGUCGCAGCAGUGCAAAACUUAUUACACAAUAAUAGAUACUGAAUUUAUGAUAUUGAUUACUUCUGAUAAGGGUGAUAGGAUUGAAAAUUGAUAAAGAGAGGAUCACAACUAUAUCUCCAUUUUUAUCUCUAUCUAUCUAUGUAUGUAUGUAUGUGUCAGUCAUCUCCUAUUAUAUUGAUAUAGGGGGAAUAAGUGUAACUCCUAACCUGCUGAAUGUCAGAUAUGCCAAGUUUGUGCUCCCCAAAAUUGAAGAAUGAAUUCUAAGGAAUAUCAGAGGUUAAGAGUAGGAAAAAUUUAUUGAGGGAAAGAGAGAGAGAGAGAGAGAGAGAAGGGGACCCAGAAGUGGGUUGCCAAUGAGCCCACUUCUCAAAGGAAGUUUGACAGAGCAAAAUCACAAGGUGGGUACAAUGUGGGUCAAAACUACAAUCAACCAAUGAGAUUAGAAGCACAGCUGCUUAGGCAAUGUUGAUCCAGUGGGGAAGCAGGUCACUUAGCAAGUGUGCAUGGAAAGAACAAAGACCUGUUAAGGGUCCGGGAUACCCACUGCGGCUACUGAUGUCCAUCUACGUGAGCAGGAUCCCACAUCCGUUGCUCAUCCUGGGGGAGGCAUGCAGGCCUGGUCACACGGUCCCCAUCCUGAGGCCUGGCCCUCGACCGAUGCACCUCCAGCCACAGCUGUGAUGUGUUCUCAUCCUCAGCCUGACUCCUGGAGGGCCCAGCCCUGUCUGCUUGCCCUAUUUCUACCCAACUUAGCUGUCCAUAAUAAUAUUUUUACAAAAAGGAUAUUAAAUAUUGCCAAAGGUUAAGAAUCAGUGAAGCUGGGUAAUUGGGUAUAAAGUUUUUUAUUAUAUUUCUUCUUGAGUAUAAAUUUGAAUUAUUGCACAAUAAAAAUGCAACAAAAAAGAAUACCUACAGAAAUACUGCAUUGGACUUGGGAUACGGACACUGUUAAGGCUGAAAAACAUCACGGUGAGAAGACAGAGCCUCCUGCUAGGAGAACGAACGAUGUGGGGUUUCGUACACUUCAUCAUCAUACUGUAUGAAAAUGAUACCUGCAAGUGGUGAUUUCAGUCCCUCCUGGGAGGAGCAGCGCAGGGCCUCGGUGUUUUGCUUUUUAGUUCCCGAUAUUCCUCCGUGAAGGCUGAUUCUGCUGUCCCUCCCUGGUGUCCUGCAUUUUGGCCUAGAAUAUGUGAUUUUUCAGGCAAGAGAAAAACAAUGAGAAUGUGAUCCUUCGGAGCCUCUGACAUCACCUGCACUCAGAAAAUCCUGCCUUUAAUUGCUCAGUGCCUGGAUUAUUGUGGGGUAAAACUGGGACCUCAGGUAGGGAGGCAAAACCCAAGAAGCCCCCGAGGUGCGCUGGUUUACUUGACAAAGGCAGAGUUCACAUCAUAAAGGCAGAAGGGAGAGGAAGAGUCCCAGCUGGGUCUUGGCUCAGUGCAGAAGCCCCCGACUCCAGCAGGAACCCCGGUCAGACUGAGUCACAGCUGAGAACCUGAGGUCCACUGAGUAGACACUGGGAAGCUGGGUGCCUCACUCCCUUGCUCCUGGGCUCUUGGUGCUGCUGAUGGAAGAAUCCAGUCAAGGCUCACAGGGAGUACAGACGUCUAAGUAGAGUCUACAUUAAGUAGGUACUGAGAGCCUUACGCCUUCGUUGGAGAGAAGGAAGACAGUGCCACGGAGGCAUCUGCCCUGAGCAUGAGUUUGGAUUCCUUUUUAUGUCCACAGAACCUACUCCUGGGGUUAAGGGAACUAGGGUGACAUUUCUCUUAGGGAUGACUUUGGGAUGUCAAUAUCUAAAAAAUCUCAGUGUUCCUGCAGGGGCCUAACUCCUGUGAGAAUCUAAAGUAGGUCUCAGCCCCAGGAGGAAGGUCUUCAAAGAAUGCAACUCUUCCUGAUACCGUUGGGCACAGACCAUGGCACCCAGGAAUGCUGUGUGUCUUGUUUUGGAAGUAGCCAGGUGGCCAGCAGCAGAAGGAAUGUGCACACGUGUAACCUUAAAAUGGUACUGUGCUCGGUGGGACCAACGCAGGUCAAAGACCUUGCCAACAAAUCAUUAUAAAUGUGUUAUACAAUGAGGUCUUUAUUUCUGUACCUAACUACAACUGGAAAAGCAUGCUAUUUAGCAGGCCCCAGACCCACUAAUGUCUAAUUAUUUGCCUGACAGAUAUAACAUUGUUCAACAUUCUUCCUCCCUUGAGCAGUCUGAAGUUUCACAGGAGAACAUCAUGAAUCUGCUUCAGGCAGGUGCAUCCUUCUACUUUGUUACCUGGUUUAUCUCCAACCACAUCUGUGUCAGGCAGAAUUAUUUUCCUAAGAGUAGAGAUGAGAAAACUAGCUCAGAGGGGUUGACUUGCUCAAGGUUGUAUGUCCAUGAAGAGGGUUUGGAGGGGCUCAAAUCCAAGUCUACACUGAGCCAGGCUGGAGUAGGCUUUGGGAAUGUAGCACACAGGACACGUGGGAAGAACUUUACCAUUUGGUGGUAGACAAGAUAUCUGUACUGGAGCCAUUGAGGUUGUUCUCAAGGCAUCCGCCCUCGUGGAAACAAUGCUGUGUGCAUAGGGUGCGUACAGGGCCGGCCAGCAAUGGCGCCUUUGGGCUUUGCUAGCGCUGGCUCAGCUGCUUCCUCUGAACAGAUGCAGAGAUCCCUUGAUGUCUCUUUUGCUUUACAGUGAAAUGAUACCAUAUCUCCUUUGGGGGAGAAAGACGGAAGCUUUCUUUCAGUCAAGUGCUCUGGAGAAUGCUCUUUGGAAGAAAGGUGCUUUGGCCUGGUUCCCUCAGGGUGAGUGAUCCUUGUAAGCGUGGGACUGGGAGCCCUGUAAGGGCCGAGGCUGGGUUCUUCGCAUCUGUGCUGCACAGAGCCAGGCCUGAUAUCACUGUGGAUUAUUUUCUAGGCAUAGGUGACAAGGAGUGGGCAGCCCCGUGGGGAUAGCUCACCCACCCUGGUAGAGGAAGGCUGCAUUGCUUCUGGGAUGCAUCUGGAACUUUGAGAUUUACUUUCACUCUACCCUGGACCUUGGCAAAGAGGCCAGCUGGCUUGGGACCCUCCCUGCAUGGCCACGCAUCAUCGGCUCUAAUUGUUUAUCCUGAGAGUCUGUGGGAUUGGGACUGUCAUGGAGCUUCCACACACCUCUGGGGAAGACUCCUUCAUGACUUAUAAUUUUCUUGUUGUUGUCUGAGCGCUUGGAGCCCUCAUGGGGGCUUGAUCCCAGGGGUCGCCUCUAGGGGUUCAUAGCUUGGAGCGAAAGGUGAGUUCUUUUAAAGUCAGUGGUAACUCCUGGUCCUUCCCUUUCCACUCCAGCCCACAGUGGACCUCUGCUCACUCCCUUUGGCUCAGAGAAGCUGUGGUCCUUGAGUUUGGGGUCCCAUUCCAGUCAUCCCCCACCACUGCUCCCAGGUUCUGAGUGUGUUUGGUUUUUCUAUUCUACCCACAGAAGGAGAAGUAGCUACUCUACUAGGAGAAGUAGCUGGGGGCAGGUGAGUGGCACCUCUGGAGAUCUUGGGGUACAGGCCAUCUGCUUCUGGUGUACACCCAUGUUGGAGACUGCUAGGGCAGAGCCAAAGAAAUGAGGGGGCGGUGUGUGGGAAGUGUCCCCUGUGAGGCAGACCUAAAGCAGCGAUCCCUGACUUCAGUAUAACCCAGCCUUCUCUAGAGUCUUCCCAGUUUGUGAUCUUGUAUCUGUCUUUUAGAUGCUCUUUCACAGAGCCACUGUGCUUUUCAAUAUCAAACCAUUUCUUAAGUGAGGAAAGCAAAGCACACAGAACUCUGCUGAUUUCCUUAAGCUCACAGAGUAAGGGUGCUGAGGUCCUUUCAUCUGCUGCUGCCCCCCUUACAUAAACCUUCAGUCCAAUUAAAACCAACCUGCUGUUGUUCCUGGGCAGCUUCCCACCACCCCAAGUCCCACUGAAGUCCAAGCCCCUGGCUCUCCUUUCCCUGGGCAGCUGCAGUGACUGCAGGGCUUCCCAGAGGGCACUGGCAGUAUCCGCAGUGAGUCUGUGCCCCACCGUAUCGCUGAGCUGCGGGAAGAACAGGGCCACUGUUCCCAGCUGGGGAGUGGGAGCUGGAAGCCCACAGAGCCUGCCUCUCCGGCCCCUUUCUGCCGCCUCACGGGCGUGGCUGGCUGGGGUCUGCUGUGUGUGAGACGGGCGAGGCUGCCCAGGUCCUCCUCUGCUUCCUCUUGCAUUUGAUCCUAGCACGGGAGGCCAAGCCUGUGUAGUUUGGAGGCCCUGGAACCCCCGGAAUGGAUCCUUUGCAUUCUGAGUUCCAUGAGGUUUUAGGAAGGGCGCUGCCCUGGGAGGACAUUUGGGGAGGAUGGUGGGCCCUGGCACCUGGCCUCGUUUGUCCCUGCCAGCUGGUGGAAGCCAGGCCUGUGGCAGUCCUGCAAGCUGGGUGCUUUUGUUCCUCUUCCCAGCUUCCUGGCAACCAAGAAAAUCUAAAGCCUGGGUGGACCAGAGUUUAAAAACAGCUUUCCAGGAGAUUUGAAAUUAAAUUUAGAAGAAAAGGAAAUUAUAUAUGAAAAUCAAUUCCAUUUGCCUCCUGCACAAGGCCAGCGACCGAGGCGCCGUCGUUGCCCAGCAGAGAGGAGGUGGCUAUAGCACUGGCCCCAGAUCGGGUGGCUCUUCUGUAAGUACUGGUAGGCAGGUGCGAUUUCCCUCCUGCUUCCUGGAACACAGGGAGCUGGAGGGGAAAGGAAGCGGAGGACUCUGGGUAAGCAUGUGGGUAGGGGUGUGCAUCCAUUUUUAAAUUCAUCAACAUAUUUAUUGCUGCAUGCCAGGGACUCUUUCUGGCAUUGGCAACAUAGGGAUGAGUGAAAAGACAGAGGUACAAUUUCCAAGGAACUCCCUUCCUUCUGUGUGCACGUGUGUGUGUGUGUGUGUGUCUGUGUGUGUGAUUACAAAUAAAUAUCUGACAUAAAAAUGAGGCUGUGGCCAAAACUCAUGUCGAGAAGGGGCUCAGAGAGUUAUGGAAAUUGCAUUUUUAUUUUUUACAAAAAUUAUAUUUGUUCACGCUCCCAGUGUGUAAUGAUCACGUUCAUCCUGGGGUGUUGGCAUAGUGGGGCGGGAGGAGACAGGAAGCUACAUAAACAGAAUGGGACUGUGCUCUGUACAAGGAAGUCACGCACUCAGGUACUGAGCAGACCCGGCCUCUCCGAGUGUGGCCUUGUGUGGAGAAUUGAAGGAAGCGGGAGAGGAAGCCACAGAAAGAGAAAAGGAAACAGCACCAAUGCAGGAGUGAAAUUCUGCGGAAUGCUGUUCCUUCUGUCUUUAGGCCAGGGCUGCAGAGGACAGAGCCCUCUCCUGACCGCAGCGGAGACACUGUGGCUCUGCACGGUCAGGUAGCUCGUAUCUGGGGGGAGCCAGGGCCGGGUGCCGCUGCCGGGUUCCGAGGCAGUGCUGCUAACUGGGCCGUCUGUGUGCCACAGCCAGGCGGCUGUCAGAUCUCUGCAGGGGAUCGGGGAAUGGGCAUGCAGUGAGCGAGGGCAGCCAGGAGAGGGCUCCGCCCGCCGGUGCUGGCACCAUCAGCCCCUUCCUGCUGCCCCCAGACUCUGCCUGCCCACCGCUGCCUGGUACCGGGACAGGUGGGGAUGUUCUGAAACUGCUGCCUGGAUCUCUCAGCUCCUUUCACCUUGGGGCCAGGUGGAGAGAACUGAAGCAGGGAGAUGUCCACCUCCCUCCCCAAGCUGUCAUGCAGCCACACAAGCAAAUAGCUGCAGAGGCCCAGCCUUCAUUGCCCUGCCCGAGCCCAAGAUCCUUUGUUAGGGAGGCCUUAGGUGAGGGAGCCCCAUCUUUUGAGGACACCAUCUUGGGCCAAGUCCCCAGGCAGCCUUUCCUCUAUUUAGUGGCUAUCCUGCAGACCCUCUUCUCUCCCCUCUGUCACCUGUGCCCUGGAUGGCGGUGCUUGAUGAGGCAGUUCUCUGAUGCUGCUAGUAGGCAUGGAGGUGUGCAGGGGAUGAUUCCUGAGCAGCAGAGAAAUGAACCCCACAGCCAGAACCCGGAGCCAGGGUUUCGAGGCAUCAUCUAGUAGAGUGGAACAGAGAGACGGGGUGUGGUGUGAGGGGACAGCUCAGCUUUAGCGUCACAUACCUCGGGGUUUGAACUCCACCUGCUGCAUACAAGUUCUAUUUUGUGCAAGUUACUUGCUGUCUCUGAGCCUCGGUUUUCCCAGUUGCAUGAAAACCAGGACAGGCAACGCCUCUAUCAAGGAUGGGCCACCGGAUCACAGUGCUGUGGAGCCGCUAUCUGCUGGGCUUUCCUGGGCUGGAGACAGACUCAUUCUCCCUCACACAUGGCCUGGGAGGUGGGAGUAGGUGAAGAGUAGGAUGGGAAGCUGGGCGUGGUGGCACACACCCAUCUUCCCAACACUGGGAGCUCAGGAAGGAGGGUCACGAACUUGCGACACCCUGUCCCCAAAUGAAAAAUAAAAAAGGACCGGGAAUGUAGGUCAGUGUAAAGACUCUGAGUGUCGUGUCCUGUAUUGCAACAAGCAAAACCAACCAAAAUCAAAGAAACAAGAGUAGGAUUUGAUCCUCUGAGGAGAGACACAGCGCUUUCUGGAACUCUUGUUCAGAAAAUGUUCCUCAUUAAGUUGUGUCUGGUGAUGUACCUGAUUCCAGCUGAAGUUCACCUUCUUAUGUUAGGGCAGGUUUCUUUCAGUUCACUUCUGUUAGGUGGGGUGCUUGGGGCUUGAAGGCAUCAGGGAGUCUCACCCUGAACGUGGCCAUAACCACCAUGUUGGCCCCGCACCCACUGAUGCUGGGUCUCUGUGGUGAACAUUUGUAUGAGGAUCUGCUGGGCACGAAAGUAAAUUAAUACAUUCAAAUGCUACAGAUCUCAAAAUUUUCCAAGAGUUAGGAAACGGGGUGGUUCUCUUUUUAAUGAAUGAAAGUGAAAUAAUGUACGGUCAUAGGUGGCACGGUUCAUUGUGGGCAUGGUGGGCACAUGUAUGAUGGAAGCUACCCGAGAUUGUAUCAUUUAGUGACAAUAAAGUGCACUCUGAUGUGCAUGGCUGAAUGUUAAUAAAUGAAGUAAUGUGAAAUGCAUUCGGUUAUUUUAUUCCCUUGAACUUUUUGAGUGGUUUUCUCCAUGUGUCAGUCCAGUCCGUUUGAUGUGGUGCAGAUCUAAAGCGUCGCCGGAUCUCAUGGCGUGAGGGCCACAGGAUCACAGGGGCGCUGUUCUCAUCACUGGAUUCAUCCAUCCAUUUAUAGGAACAAGGGAAGGAGGAGAAGGCUUCUGAAUGAAGACAGGACUAGCAAACUUGAGCCACAGCUGGAAGGACAGGGAAGACUGAGAAAGAACACUAGCAGUUCAUCUCUAAGACGGCCAAGUGAGUAUCCUGCAGAUCUGGGGCAUGACAUCAGAUCCGUGUGAGUCUGAAUCGCAUGCUCUUCAUGACCAUGAGAAACAAUGAACACCGCAGAGAACUUCACUGUGAAACCCAUCUCCAACAGAGAGAGUUAAGGCAGAUUUCCACAGCACCUGUGUGCCCGGGCAUCUCCACCAGGAAGGGGAUCUGGGGCUGGGAAGUGCCAUUCUGAGAUGGCCACAUUGGAAGCCAGAUUGCAAAGGGGGAUGCUUGGGAAUUGUAUUCUGAGGUCUCACGGGGCCAACACAAGGAUGAAGCAUGUGGGGCUGUGGUGAAGUAGGCAGCCAGGAAGCUGGUAUCAAGAGACUGCCACUGGCAAGGCUGCUGCGGCAUGGACUUGGCUGGUGAAGAUGCACACAGGAAUCUGAAGACCUUGACCUCGCUUUGUUUCCGCUUUUGUAUCUCCACGCUUCCAUUGCCAGGAAACCACGGAAUGGUGAAGCCAGAGGAGCUUGCCUCAUGAUUUGUAUUGGAAAGGGCAAGGGCUUUAGACCCUGGUGAACCUGGAUGCAGAUUCUGGCUCAGGAAUUUGUGACUGCAGGCAAA
rnacentral:lncRNA from 1 species